GGAGGUAGUGACAAUAAAUCUCAAUACGAAGCCUUUGGUUUUGUAAUUGAAUUGAGAACAAUGUACAAUCGUUAUCGAUAAACAAUUGGAGGGCAAGUCUGGUGCCAGCAGCCGCGGUAAUUCCAGCUCCAAUAGCGUAUAUUAACGUUGUUGCAGUUAAAAAGCUCGUAGUUGAAGUUUAGAUAAUUUAUUGAAAGUGUUUGUAUUCGUACAUUCUACUUUUAUGUAAGUUAUCGACAUCCAGGUGGGUGCCAUGGUUCUGCAAGGAAUUGUGGUACUAGACUGGUCAUUUACUGUGAGAAAAUUAGAGUGUUUAAAGCGGACUGUUCAGUUUGAAUAGAUUAGCAUGGAAUAAUAAGAUUGGCUUUCAUAGUCGAUUUUUUGGUUUGUUUAUGAAAGCAAGAUUAAUAGGGACAGUUGGGGGUAUUCAUAUUCAAUAGCUAGAGGUGAAAUUCUAUGAUUUAUGGAAGAUGAACAAGUGCGAAAGCA
rnacentral:rRNA from 1 species